CUGCUUUUUCCCACCUGUUCUCAGCGGGUCGUCCCCAGGUCCUUCUCCAGAGGCUCCAUCUGGGGCGUGGCCUUUGGCCUUCCUGAAGCUCCGGGAGAACCAUGCUGUCAGCAGCCUCUGCACACGAGGCACAGGGAGUUAGGAUGGAUCACACCGCUCCCCAUCGGGCCGAAUGUGUAUUUCAAUUUUCCUCCUCCUAGGUGAAGGCAGUCCACGAGCCACUCCAAUGAUCCACGUGGACGUGCCCGAUGCACGGGACUCACCAGGGUCCGCAUCCACACUCAACUUCUGCGAUCCUGUCCGGGAACAAGAGGUGUCCCUUGAUGAGCUGGACCAGCCAGUCGCUCUGCCAGGACCCUCACCCAAAGGUGAAGAGAGUGCGCGUGUCAACGAGAUGACCCACGUGAUCGUGACCGAUUCAAGGGACGCGGUGGAGACCGUAUGCGCCCCCAGUCUCCUCGAUUGCAGCCAGGAUCCGAAG
rnacentral:lncRNA from 1 species